AACGCACCUUGCGCCCCAUGGUAUUCCGUGGAGCAUGCCUGUUUGAGUGUCAUGAAAACAAUCAACCUUGACUUUGGUUUGACUACCACUGACUUGGCUUGGACUUGGGUGUUUGCCAUCUUCAUCGAUGGCUCACCUCAAAUUGAUUAGCUGGACUUGUCUUGAGGACUGGUUUGACUUGGCGUAAUAAGUAUUUCGCUGAGGACAUCGUAAGAUGGCCAUCCACUUGACCACCGUCCGCUUUCCAACCCUGUUCUUUCUUUGGAAAGACGUUUUUUAUACAUCUGGCCUCAAAUCAGGUAGGACUACCCGCUGAACUUAA
rnacentral:misc_RNA from 1 species